GCUGUACGAUGAUGAUACUUUGGCUCCCUCUACUGAUAGCUGGUGAGGAGAGCAGCCAUCCGUUACCCAACAUGGCUGAGAGUACAGC
rnacentral:snoRNA from 1 species